UAGUGAGGUGACACAAGCCUGAACCACAUUUCCUGUUUUUAAGAAAGCUGGUGGAAAAAAAAGGCUGGAGACCUUAAAGACUGGUGGCAGCUGUAGAGAUAGAUUCAUGCUGCCAGGUCCAACGCAAAAGAGCAUCCAAUGUUUGCCAACAUAACUUGACUGUCUGUUGGAUAAAGGGUGGGGAGUAUUCCUAGAAACAACAAAACCAGUUUGCAGCACUGUAAAAUAUACUAAGAGGAGACAAGUAACUCCAUCCCUAAACUCAGAAAAAUAAAAACAUCAUCCAGAUGGAGCAAAUUACCUAAGUUUUGGACAGGUUGCAUAGGAUGCAAAUGCUGAGUGACUAAUUGUAGACUAACCAGGUUCCAAACAGUGAUGGUUCUUGACGUGCCUUGAUAACAUCUUCUCAAGUUGCAGAAAUGGACUGCCAUUUUUCUGUCUGGGGAGUCUUGGCCUUUCUGAGUUUGGCUCUUGUUGUUUCGUUGAUACUGAACAUUUCACACUAUAUGAAAAAGAAGCAAGCUAAAAAGUGUAAAGACUAUGAAGAGAACAGUCCAAGCUAUGAUGGCUACUACACAGAAGAUGACCCAGUUUAUGGCAAUCUCAAUCAAGAGAUUUUAGAGGAAUGUUGUUAUGAGCAGAUGAAGUCCCAGCCUCAAAGGACAGUUAACCAGCUACAGGUGGAGUCUGCCAAUCAGAUGUGUUAUGCCUCACUUGAUCACAGUGUCAAGGGAAAACGCAGAAAACCGAGGAGAAAGAAAGGGUCUUCAUUAGAGGAGGAUGAAGAAGAAAGAUCAUCUAACCCCACCAUGAUGGCUUCCAAAGUUAGCAUUUAUCUCAACAGUGAGCAGCUGGCUGCUGAAAACACGACAAACGUAGAAGCCAUUCAUGAUGAUCCCAUGAGAUUAAUGGGCUUGAUUCAUACUACAAAGGAGAGAACAUUUGAAGUGGCUUCAUAAACCAAAUAUGUAAUCAUAAAGUGAUAUCUGCUUCUUCAUUCUGGAAAAACAGUGGCAAUAACUUGACAAACUGACAUACCAAACCAUGUUAUAAAAUGGCAGUGGCGACAGCCCACAACAUCAACCAGGCAUUCGGCCCAGGAACUGCUAAGGAAUGUACAGUACAAUGGUGGUUUAAGAAGUUUCACAAAGGAGAUGAGAGCCUUGAAGAUGACGAGGGUAGCGGCCAGCCAUUGCAAGUUGACAAUCACCAGUUCAGAGCAAUCAUCAAAGCUGAUCAUCUUACAACUACAGGAGAAGUUGCUGAAGAACUUAGUGUGAACCGUCCUACAGAUGCUUGGCAUUUGAAGCAAACUGGAAAGGUGAAAAAGGUGAUGGAUUGAUGAAAAGUGGAAUUUGUACAAAAACUGACGAUGACCAGCUCUGUGGUUGGACAGAGAAGAACAUCCAAAACACUUCCCAAAGCCAAACUUGCACCAAAAAAAGGUCAUGGUCACUGUUUGGUGGUCUGCUGCCAGUCUGAUCCACUACAGCUUUCUGAAUCCUGGCAAAACCCGAAAAGUAUGCUCAGCAAAUCAGUGAGAUGCACUGAAAACUGCAAAGCCUGCAGCCAGCCCUUGGUCAAUGGAAAGGGCCCAAUUCUUCUCCUCGACAAUGCCCAACUGCAUGUCACCCAGUGCUUCAGAAGUUGAAUAAAUUGGGCUACGAAGUUUUGCCUCAUCUGCCAUAUUCCCCUGACACCCACUUCUUCAAGCAUCUUGACAAUUUUUUGCAGGGAAAAAUGCUUCCAAUACCAGCAGGAUGCAGAAAAUGCUUUCCAAGAGUUUGUCAAAUCCCGAAGCAUGGAUUUUUAUGCCAGAGGAAUAAACAAACUUAUUUAUUAUUGGAAAAAUGUGUUGACUGUAAUGGUUCCUAUUUUGACUUAUAAAGAUGUGUUUGAGUCUAGUUAUAACGAUUUAAAAUUCAUGGUCCAAACCCACCAUUACUUUUGCACCAACUAAUAAUAUGCCUACCUCUAAGUGUCAGAGAGUUCUGCCUUCUCAAAAUAAGGAUGUUAGAGCCUUUAAAAUCCAUGCAGAACACAGUGUCAAGGAGUUUGAAACUCUCAAGGACAUAGAGCCCUGCAAAUGUUUCAGGUCCUGAAAAAU